UCGCGCCGGCGUCGUGGGUGUUUGGAUGCAACGUAGUGCUCCCGGUUUUAUUUUGUUUAAGCGACCUUUUCUGAAGUGUCAACCAAGGAUCAAACACUGGUCGUUGCGGGGAUCGGCUUCAGAGGGUCAAGGAUGGCGUCUUGAAUCGCUGUUCAGUCGACAGGCAACUGUAUGACAACGCCAUCCCUGUCAACCAGAGCGUCGACCGAAGUAGGGCGGCGCUGCGCGGACCUGGCCGCACCCGACCAACCGGUGGAGUACCUGACUCGGGCUGGGCGGAGACUACCUACAUCACGACCUUUUGAACUUUGAUCUCGUGGCGAGAAACAAUAUGACGUAAGGAAGUGUGUAUGUGGCUGGCGGGGCCGAGGGUGAAAUGCGCCACGUGUUUAUCCUGCCGGAUGACGACAGCGUCACCAACCUGUCAAAGAACGAGCUGGUGCAGCGCGUGAUGACUGCUAUCUCGUCCCUAGAACCGGAGUAGAAAAACGUGCGCAUAGCCCAAAUGAAGCGAACCAAAACACAGACAGGACUGAUAGCUUUUCGGUCGAGAAUGUUCUGAAGAUGCUGAUCAGUAGACCAAUUGGUGACCGUUUUCGGUGGUAAUAUGGGAUCUUGUGGUGUUCCAAAGCGACCUGCUUUGGGUGUGGACAUAAGUGGCUCAACCUGACAGGAUUGAUGUUUUAGGUAGCCGUGCUAAUCAUAAACCCUAUAGUGUAUCUGUACAAAUUUUGUUUAUAUUUAUUUCAUGUAUUUGGUUCGAGACCGAAAAUCGCUCUCAGUAAUUAGGCAACAUCGAGACGUUGAGGUCAUUCUCCAGACAUUUAUUUGUUUUUUCUUACCUGUCCACGGUAUGUCUUACUGGUUAGGUCUCAGUUUCAAAUAUUAUUAUAUGGAUGUGAGCAUCAACGACAGGGCUUUGUGAUGGCAAAUGUGUGGCAAUUGCAGGGAUCGUUGUGAAAUGUGUUAUGAAUAUCAUCGUAUUAUUUGCGACUGCAAAUACAUCCGUGUAUCAUAUUUUCA